UGAAUGUGGUUCGAGAUGAUGUGCUUGCAAGCGGAGCUGAUGUCAAUGCCUCUAAUUCUUUAUUGAUAAAUGGACAACCUGGUGAUCUACUUCCAUGCUCAAAAUCAGGUACAAAUUAAGUUUAACUUCUCAUUUUAAAAUUGUACAUGAUUUCAUUUUCUUGUAUAUUGACCAUAUUACUUUUUCUUAUUAACAUCAACAUAUUUAAAGCUUAAUACUAAGAAAGAUGAAUAUAGCUAUGAGGAUGGUAGAGCCAUGAUUUAACACAUGAGAAAAGGCUAGUCAUAAUAUAAUUUUGAACAAUGGAGCCAAAUUUACACCCUUAAUCAAUCAAUCACUUCAUAAUUGGUGGAUCCUCAUGGAAACUUUUUCUUUUUCUUUUGGCUAGUCAUAAGUAUACAACUUUCCCUUUCUAAUUGCAGGCACAUUCAAGAUAACGGUGGAUCAUGGAAAUACCUAUCUACUUCGCAUAAUCAAUGCUGCCUUGCACGAGCCUCUUUUUUUCUCCAUUGCCAAGCAUAAAAUGACAGUGGUUGGAACAGAUGGUAGCUACACAAAACCAUUGACACAAGAUUAUAUCACAAUAUUUCCUGGCCAAACCUUCGAUGUCUUACUAGAAGCUAACCAACGCCCGGAUCACUAUUACAUGGCGGCUAUAACUUAUUCUGAAGCCCCGACAGGUCUUAAUAUUUAUGAUAACACAACCACCACAGCUAUUGUACAAUACAGGGGAUACUACACUCCAUCUUCACCUCCCUUCUUGCCUCACUUACCUGCAUACAAUGACACAAAUGCAACGCUUCAGGUUAUGGCCAACCUCCGAAGCUUAGUAGAUGCGGAACAUCCUUGCAAUGUCCCAUUGAGCACGAGCACUAACCUAUUUUACACCGUUUCUUUAAACUCGUACCCAUGCAUUAAUGAUUCAUGUUCAGGGGUCAAUGGGACACGGUCCGCUUCAAGUAUAAACAACAUAAGCUUCCAUACCCCUACAAUUGACAUACUGGAAGCUUACUAUUAUAACAUCAGUGGUGUAUAUGGAGAUAAAUUUCCUAGCGUUCCACCACAGGUGUUUGAUUUUACAGGUGAUUAUCUUCCAUUACUCUAUCAGUUGCCGAGCACCGGAACAGAAGUAAGGGUGCUCGAGUAUAACUCCACAGUGGAGAUUGUUUUUCAAGGGACAAACUUGGUUGGAGGGACAACCCACCCUAUUCAUCUCCAUGGACACAGUUUCUAUGUUGUUGGGUGGGGACUUGGGAAUUUUGAUGAAAAUAAGGAUCCUUUGCGCUACAAUCUGGUGGAUCCUCCCCAUCAGAAUACCAUCUAUGUUCCUAGGAAUGGUUGGGCUACAAUCAGAUUCAAGGCAUCCAACCCUGGUAUGUUGCAAGCACUCAUGUCCUCUAUUAAAAAAAUAAAUGAAUAAACCCUUGAAAUUGCCAACCUACAAACCAAGGAAAUAAUUUUUCUUAGUAUUACAAUUAAGUUAGGUGUAAUGUUGUGUGUUUUCCCUGUUACAGGAGUGUGGUUCAUGCAUUGCCAUAUAGAACGCCAUCAAAGUUGGGGCAUGGAAACUGCGUUCAUAGUGAAAAAUGGUAAACACCCAGAAGCUCAAAUGUUGCCUCCUCCAUCCGACAUGCCGCCAUGUUGAAGCUGCAAAGAAAUAACAUGCCAAAGAUUUCAUUGAAUAUUGUAUUAUUUAGCUUUCAUGAUUUAUUUUAUGCUCAUAAGAAGAAUAAUGUAAAGUCGUAGAAUAUUGUGUCUAAGAUUAUUAAUGUCAAUUUCUUGGAUUGUUAACCGUCUAUAAAGAUAAGGGAAUUUGCCACAAAAGUCUUUGAUUAUGAAAAAGAGAAUUUGAUGUUGUGUUACUAUUUCAACCUUAAUUAAUUUCAAUAUGAACAACUCAUUAAAUGGGAUAGUUUAAAAUUAUCUUGAUUUGACAAUUUUUAUUCCAAUUCAUAUUAAUAAUUUUUAAAAUUAUAAAUAAUAUAGUUUAGAGUAAUUGACUUAUUCUACUAUUUUAAAAUUAGACUAUGAUCUAAAGGGAAACUUGUGAAAAAGGUCAUGAAACGGUUUGUUUAAUUUGUACUUUUACAUAUAAAGAUAUUUUGCAAAUAAUAUAAUUUUUAUAAAGUCCUAUACAGUUGAGAUAAAGUCAGUUUUUAUUUAUUUAUUUAUUUAUUUAUUUUAAAUUAAAAUAAUUUUUUUUUUUCCUAAAGUUAAAAUAAUUUGUAUAUAAUUUAUAUUUUUACCUUCUAUUUUAAUAACAAUAUCACAAAAUCUACACCAAGAUAAAGGAAAAGGAAAACAAAAAAAAAAAAAAAAAUCACCGAUCAUAAAUUGUGUUUAACCCCUCACCGAAAGAAACUCCAAAUCUGUUUUUUAGCGAUUUGAUUACUUGUCAACUCCCACUUUUUAUUUUUUAUUUUUUUUAUUUUACAUUAAAGUAAACCCUUUCCUGCUUCCUUAAAUUUAAAAUAAUAAAACAAAUUACUGAUUUUUGUAAAUUGAAACACUUGAAUUUAUGGUUUAGAGAAAAGACUUACCAAUUAACUAAGUUGCUGCAAUUGACCGAACUCUCCAAGUCCAGUCUAUAAAUUAAGUUGGUAGGAAAGUUGUAAAGUCAAAUAAUUAAACUUUGGUUUUUUGGACUUGGAAUAUUCCAGCUGGCAUUCCAAUGCUAUUGAAUUAAGAAAUAAAUUAAAUAAAUUAUUCAUUGACCAUUGUCUCAUUUCUUCCAUCAUUAGUAGUUGUGGCUAGAGUUGCGGAAGCGAAGAAAGGUGGAGAGAGGCCAAAAUUUCACACUACCUAUACCUAAUAGAUAGAGUUAAAGGAAUAAAUUUGGGCAUUACCUAAAGUUGAUGAAGCAGUGCACGACAAUGUCAGAAGCGAAGAUAGGUGGAGAGAGGCCAAAAUUUCACGCUAUCUAUUCCUAAUAGAUAGAGUUCAAGGAAUAAAUUUGGGCAUGACCUAAUAAUACUUUAUAAACACUCAAAAAUAAUUGGAAAGAAUUAAAUCCCACAAAAUAAAUAACAAUAAAGCACUUUAUUUUCCCUUUUACUUCCGAUGUGGGAUAAGGUAAAGGGAUUUAAAAGCAAAAAACAACAUUUUUCCUACAAGCUAUAACGAGCAUGACUACUCCACUAUACUUCAUCCUUGUUUGUGUUAUUUUUUAACAAAAAAAUAUAUAAAUAGCCUAUUUAAAAAAAUAAUAUAUAUAUAUAAAUCACAUAUGUUUUUUUUUUCAUUUUCAAUUUGUUUUCAUAUUAAAAUACAACUUUUUUUUUAUUUACCAUUUUGAAUAUAUUUUCAUAUUUAAAUAUUGUAUAUAUUUUGUUUAAUAAAUUUAAACCAUUAAUACAUUUAUAUAAAAAUGAAUAAAUAAUAUUAUAAAUAUUAUUUAUUUUUAAUAAAAUAUAAAAUAUAUAUUUAUGACGUCAUCACUUCGACCGCAAUUCAACCACCGGUCCGACCAAUGAACUGGUAACUUUUUUAGUUCAAUACCUGGUCUGGUUCUGAAAACAUUGAUUUUUAUCCAUAAAAAAAUAUUUUGACAUUAUAAAUGAUUUUAAAAAGAAUCACUUAGUAUUUAAAGUGAGAGCGGGUGCGUACCUUGGCAGCAAGCGAAUAAUGCGCUAUCAUGAAAUGGGGUUAGUGCACAAGAAUGAAUGUAAAAUAUAUCACAUGCAUCACCAAAUAGAAUAUAAAAUCACUUAUGGCACACAUGACAUUUUACUCAAGUUCAUUUUUAUUUUAAGUAAAACUUCUUUGAUGUUGGGUCUCCCAACAAAGCCCAAUUAUCUGCAUGAUAUUUGACAAUUUCAUAUUUCGAUAUGAAAAUCAUCUACUUAUAUAAAUCAAAGAAANNNNNNNNNNNNNNNNNNNNNNNNNNNNNNNNNNNNNNNNNNNNNNNNNNNNNNNNNNNNNNNNNNNNNNNNNNNNNNNNNNNNNNNNNNNNNNNNNNNNUUCUUUGAUGUUGGGUCUCCCAACAAAGCCCAAUUUAUCUUGCAUGAAUUAAUUUGACAAAUUUCAUUAUUUCGGAAUUAUGAAAAAUUCAUUCUUACUUAUAUAAAAUCAAAAGAAACAGAAGGUUAUUUGAAAACCAUAGUGGAAUUAAAACUGUUCGAGAUAAAACUAGAUUUUUGAAAUUUAUUUGAAAAUUGGAGUCUUGGAAAUUAAAUUUAAGAAUUGGAAUUUUGGAAAUUAAAUUUGAAAGAAAUUAAAAUUUUUAAAAUUAUUUGAGAAUUAGAGUUUUGAAAAUUAAACUAAGGAAUUAGAACUUUGAAAAUUAAACUUGAGAGAAAUUAGCAAAUUAUUUGAGAAUUAGAGUUUUGGAAAUUAAAUUUAUGAAUUGGAAUUUUGGAUAUUAAAUUUGAAAGAAAUUAGAACUUUGAAAAUUAUUUGAGAAGUAGAAACUAUGAAAAUUAAAUUAUAAAAAUUGGAAUCUUGGAAAUUAUUCGAAAAUUGAAAUUUCAUAAAUUGAGAACUAAAUUUAGAAAUCGAAAUUUUGAAGAAUUAUCUAAAGAUGAAAUUUUAAAAAUAAAUAAAUAAAAAUAAUAAAAAUAAUAAUAAUGAUUAAAUAAAUAAGUGAAAAUUAGAAUUUUGGAAAUUAGAAAUUAAAUUUGAAAAUCAGAAUUUUGAAAAAUUGUUUAAAGAUGGAAUUUUAAAAAUAAAUAAAUUAAUAGAAUAAUAAUAAUAAUAACAAAAAUAAUAAUUAAAUAAAUGAACAUGAAUAUUAGAAUUUUUGAAAUUGGAAAUUAAAUUUGGAAUUCGAAAUUUUGAAGAAUUGUUGAAGGAUGAAAUUUUUUCAUAACAUGCCAAACCUAGUGUCCUAAUGGCAUAGGAGGUCAAAUAUCAGUGAGGGAGUUUUUGGGGUUGACGCCGCAGGUUCUGAAUAGCUUCAUUUACAGGGGUGUCUGUUUAUUGGUUUGUUAUGGGUUCCCAUAAAAGAAAUUCUAGAAGAUUUUCCUGAUUAUAUAAAAUAUUGUCUGGCAAAAGCAUAAGUUUAUUUUAGUUGGGUAUGAUAUCAUGCACGUAUUUAUGUAGAAGGAUGAAAUUUUUUAAAAAUAAAUAAAUAAAUGAAAUAAUAAUAAUGACGAAAAUAAUAAUUAAAAAGAGAAAAUCCUCUUUAGACAAGAUAUUUAUAGGGCCAAGAUCCUGGUGGAUCAGAUUUAGAAUUUUCCCAAAAUAAAGCUUUUAAAAGUUGGAAAAUCAAAGCUUCGGAAUUGUAGAGAAUUCUAUCACACUUGAGUGCUCUAGGGGGCGUUUAAGCGUUCUCUGUAGCACUAGAACUCUCUAGGAGUUUUUUAAAACUAUUUUAAAAAACAUUUAACUCAGUUUAAGAACUUGGCAUUCGCACCAACCUUAAUUAACUCUAAUUUGUCUUUCUUAGACCUUUCUAUGCUUACCUUUGUUAUUCUAGUUGAUCACACGACAACUUCGAGUUUUUAAAGGAGAGUGAGAUAUAAUCUAAAAAAUCCCUAAGUCAAAAUGAUUGAAACAAAAUUAUCAAUCUUAAACUAUACAAAUUAAUGUACUAACACUUGCAAAUAAGAAACCUUGGGUUCAUUUAGCAAGAGGGAUUUCUAUCAAGGACGUUGGGUUUGCUUCAAAAAUGACUUAUUAUGAGAUGAGAAUCAUACCAAAAUGCUUCGAAGUAUAACAAAUACUAUGGUGCCAAUCACAAAAUGGUGGAAUAAGAAAAUAUAUGACUAGUGAAGUGAUUAUUUAUUUAAGAAAAUUUUAAGGUUAGGUUGUUAGGAUAUCCUAGGAUUAUAAAUUAAUUAUGCCCACCUUUUUAUAGUUGAAAUAUUUCAAAAUGUUUUUUUUUUAAUUUUAAUUUAUUAUAAAAAAUAUGAAAGAAAAAUAUAAUUAAAAUUAGUUAAAAAGUUAUAUAUAUUGAAUUUUUAUAUAGAAUAGGAAAAAAAUGAAAUGAAUUAAACAAAACAUAAAUUUUUUUUCAUUCUUUUCCCAACCUCAGAUUCUUUUGCCAUUCUUAGACAUACAUGCAUCUUUGAUGAUGGAAGUACAAAAACAAUUUAUUUCAUGCAUGAACCACAAAUGUAGAGAUAGCUUCCCCAACUUUUUAGAUGAGAUUAUAACUACAGAGGCCCUUGUUCAUUUUACAACUCAUAAUUAAAUCCAUUGGAUAAAGAAGAAUAACAUGAAUAAAAUGAAGAUAAUGAAAUUAAUGAUCAUCUUAUAUAAUAUUUGUUGAGAUGUUUAUUUGGUAUAACUCAUAAAAAAUGUAGAUUAAAGGCAUUAUUAUACAAAUAUUAUUUGAUCUAGUUAAAAUAAAAAUGAACUUUAAAAACACAAAAAGAAAAUGAAUAUAUUAAGAAUAUUUUUUUAAAUGGUAAAUGAUUUGUUCAAUUAGAGGUUGGAUUUUAUAUUAAAACAAAAAAGAGUAAAUUUUUUUUUGUUUUGAUCAUUAUACGUGUUCAUAGUAAUUUAAUCAUUUACUUUAUUAAAUACUUAAAUAUUAUUGGAGUUGGGUGGGCACCCAAAUUGGUGUGACCUAACCCGAUCCAACCAAAUAAGAGAUCAACGGUAGAGCAUUUUAUGGGAGUUGAAACUACUAGAAAUUACCCAAAAAUCACCCCAAUAAACUUUUCUUUGGAAAAGAAAGAUUGAGAGAACUUUGGAAGAAAAGUUCUUUGAAAAAAGAAGGUAAAAUACUUUGUGUUGUGGAAUAGAGUGAUUCUUGAUUUUAGUGUGGUUCCAUUCAGGGCUUGGGGUAAAGAAUUAAAUGGUGAAAUAAUUGUUUGUUUGGUUUUAUUUUAUUUUAUUUAUUUUAUUUUUAUUUUAUUUUUUUCUUCUUUAGAUCUUGGGUAUUCUAAAAACUAAUCCAAAAUUUUCCUACAAAUAUUACUUUUGAAAUUUGUGAACACUUCUCAACUGAGCAAAUGUUCAACUACUUAAUAUUAACUUAUUUUCUUUCAACCCUAUCAAAAGUGAUUUUUCUAAUAUUAGUUCAUAUGCAUUUAGUAGUAAUUUUCAUAUUUAAAAAAUAGAAACACAAUUUUGAAAAUAAGGCAAAAAUAAUCUUCAUUUUCAAGAAAAGUUUCUUGUUAAGGUAAAAAUAUACAUUCAAAAUAAUUUAACCAAAUAUUGCAUAAAUAUGUAUCAUAUGGAGAAAAAAAUUAUAUUAAAGCUCCACAAAUAGUAGGGAAUUUAUUCCAAAUUUUUAAAAGAAAAUGUGAGAAAAAAGUGAAAAAAUAAAAAAAGUUUAAAUUAACUUGAUCAAAUUUUUACAUGACUUAAAAUUUAUUCAUUAUUUUUUAUAUUUAUAAAUAAUUUAAAAAUAUAUAAAUCUUUCCAUAAUUUAUUUAUAUAAUGAUUUUUCUUUGUAUAUGAUACAAUAAACCAAACAAGGAAGUUUGAACUAUUUCUUAUUUUACUUUUUUUUGGAUGAUAGCUUUUGUAAGCCAACUAAAACCAUUUUAAUCAAGAUAUACAUACCAUAGGAACAAAUAAAUUAUAGACUACAUUUGUUUUGAAAAACAUUUUUUAAAAUCUAUAAUUAUUAUUUUAUUAUUAUUAUUAUUAUUAUUAUUAUUAAAUUUAUUUUUAUUGAGAAAAAAAAAAAUACUAUGACUCCCAAUAGAUGUUUUAAGUGAUUCACAACAUACAAGGGGUUGGUAUUCUAUUUUCAACUAUUUACAAAAUAUAUUUUUGUGUUUUUUUUAUGGAAGGUUCUGAAAUACCAAAUUGGGAAACAACUUUGUCCCAUCCAGACGAAAACAAUAAUCAUGUUUGCCAAAAUCAUCGGUUCAACACUAUUGAUUAUCUUAAAAAAUAAUUUUAAAAUAAUUCUUAAAAGGAGUUGUCUAUGAAAAACAGUUUAUAUGCGAGGCCAAAAUUUUCAUGGCUUAAUUAACAUUUCUUGAAAUAAUCAAUAAAAGACUUGUGAAAGAAUAUUUUAAAUUUAUUCUAAAAUAACGUGUAAGUAACCUGUAAGGAAUUUUCACAAUUGUUAGCUUUCUUCACGCAUUUGGUUUAUUUUAAUUUGGUAAGUGAUCAAAUAUCAUUAUUAUAUUUAGUGGUCCUGCUCAUUGAAGUGGUCAAAGAACCAAUACACAUUCAAAUCACUUCCUCUUAUAUUGACACGUGGAGAGGAAGUAUUGUAUCCCGAGAGAAUUAUCAUGACUAUAUAAAUGAAUCAUAUAAGAAAGACAUACAGCAAAAGUAGUAAGAAAAUUGAAGGAGUUGUGUUUAGGAAAAGAGAAGAGGCUUUUAUUCCAAAGAAGAUGUGGCUGAUCAUGAAGGUUUUCCUCUUAAAAAUUUUAGUAUUUCAACUUUUUGGUGGUGGCAUCCAUUGCCAAUCUUCAACCCAUCGGCAUACUUUUGUGGUAAAGACUAUAUAUGAUUCUGGCCUUAACGUCACCUUCUGAUCAUAAUAUUUAGGGGGUAGUAUGACUCUCAUUUUCCAUUGUAGGACCCCUUACCCUAGUGUCGUUGAGUCGUUCAUGCAUGCUAUCAAUUUUUAAGGGGUUAUACACUUGCAUGAAUGGAUCGAUGCAACUAUUCAUGCAUGUAAUAUAUCUUUUGGGAUGAGGUUGGUGGUUAACUUUUAAUUGGUUGUAGGUGAGAGAAGCUUCAUAUACAAGGCUUUGUAGCACCAAGGACAUCUUAACAGUAAAUGGACAAUUUCCGGGGCCAACUAUAUAUGCUAUGAAAGGAGAGACGAUCAUUGUCGACGUUUAUAAUAGGGGAAAAGAAAAUGUCACCAUUCACUGGUAGGUCUUGAGCAUGUCUUAGAGAAAGAGCGAUGACAGCAUGCCUAGAUGGCAUACAUUCUUUUAUUUCUAAGAGGGGGCUACAAUAUAUUGCUUUGCAAAUAAAGUCAAAUUUAAAACAAUACUUUAGGGUUAUUUGCUUUAGUUUUUAUUGAAAUAUAGUUGAUGCUACUUGUUACUAUGAUAAUAUGUUGAUGCAUGCCAUCUUUUGUUAGUUCGAAAAUAAGUACUAGUUUUAACGUGUAGUUAUUGUUUUGCAGGCAUGGGGUGAACAUGCCUAGAUAUCCAUGGACAGAUGGUCCCGAGUAUAUCACACAAUGCCCAAUUCAGCCAGGGUCAAAGUUUAGUCAGAAGAUCAUCCUUUCCUUUGAGGAAGGCACUUUAUGGUGGCAUGCUCAUAGUGACUGGACCCGAGCCACCGUUCAUGGAGCUAUAAUCGUCUAUCCCAAGAAUGGAACCAAGUAUCCUUUUCACAAACCUAACGCAGAAUUUCUCAUCAUAUUAGGUAUAAGUGUUGUUACUUUUAAAUGUUAAUUUACAUAUUAUGAAUUAACCUGUAAAACAAAAUCUAAAAUUAUUGGAGUUGUUGAAAUACAGGACAAUGGUGGAAGAGUGAUGUGAAUGCAGUUCGAGAUGAAGGGCUUGCAACCGGAGCUGAUGCCAACGCCUCUGAUUCUUUAUUGAUAAAUGGACAACCCGGUGAUCUACUUCCAUGCUCAAAAUCAGGUACUAAUAAAGUUUAACUUCCCGUUUUAAAAUUGUACACAAUUUCAUUUACUUGUAUGUUGACCAUAUUACUUUUUCUUAUUAACAUCAACAUAUUUAAAGCUUAAUGCUAAGAAAGAGGAAUAUAGCUAUGAGGAUGGUAGAGCCAUGAUUUAACACAUGAGAAAAGGCUAGUCCAGAUAUAAUUUUGAACUAUGGAGCCAAAUUUACACCCCUAAUCAAUCAAUCACUUCAUAAUUGGUGGAUCCUCAUGGAAACUUUUUCUUUCUCUUUUGGCUAGUCACAAGUAUACAACUUUCCCUUUCUAAUUGCAGGCACAUUCAAGCUAACGGUGGACCAUGGAAAGACCUAUCUACUUCGCAUAAUCAAUGCUGCCUUGCAGGAGCCUCUCUUCUUCUCCAUUGCUAAGCAUAAAAUGACAGUGGUUGGAACAGAUGGUAGCUACACGAAACCAUUGCCACGAGAUUAUAUCACAAUAUUUCCUGGCCAAACCUUCGAUGUCUUAUUAGAAGCUAACCAAUGCCCGGAUCACUAUUACAUGGCAGCUAGAACUUAUUCCGUUGCCCCGACAGCUAGUAAUUUUUUUGAUAACACAACCACCACAGCUAUUGUACAGUACAGGGGAUACUACACUCCAUCUUCACCUCCUUCCUUGCCUCAUCUUCCUGCAUACAAUGACACAAAUGCAUCGGUUCAGGUCAUGGCCAGCCUCCGAAGCUUAGCAGAUGCGGAACAUCCUUGCAAUGUCCCAUUGAGCAUGAGCACUAAACUGUUUUACACUAUUUCUAUAAACUCGUACCCAUGCAUUAAUAAUUCAUGUUCAGGGGCCAAUGGGACGCGGUCUGCCGCAAGUAUAAACAAUAUAAGCUUCCAUACCCCUACAGUUGACAUACUGGAAGCUUACUAUUAUAACAUUAGUGGUGUAUAUGGAGAUAAAUUUCCUAGCGUUCCACCACUGGUGUUCGAUUUUACAGCUAAUUAUCUUCCAUUACUCUAUCAGUUACCGAGCGCCGGAACAGAAGUAAGGGUGCUCGAAUAUAACUCCACAGUGGAGAUUGUUUUUCAAGGGACAAACUUGAUUGCAGGGGUAACCCACCCCAUACAUCUCCAUGGACACAGUUUCUAUGUUGUUGGAUGGGGAUUUGGGAAUUUUGAUGAAAAUAGGGACCCUUUGCGCUAUAAUCUGGUGGAUCCUCCCCUUCAGAAUACCAUCUCUGUUCCUAGGAAAGGUUGGGCUACAAUCAGAUUCAAGGCAUCCAACCCUGGUAUGUUGCAAGCACUUGUGUCCUUUAUUAAAAAAAAAUAAAGCACCUUGAAACUGCCAACCUACAUACCAAGGAAAUAAUUUUUCUUAAUAUUACAAUUAAGUUAGGUGUAAUGUUAUAUAUUUUCUCUAUUGCAGGAGUGUGGUUCAUGCACUGCCAUGUAGAACAACAUUUGACUUGGGGCAUGGAAACUGCAUUCCUAGUGAAAAAUGGUAAACAUCCAGAAGCUCAAAUGCUACCUCCUCCAUCCGACAUGCCGCCAUGUUGAAGUUGCAAAGAAAUAACAUGCCAAAGAUUUCAUUGAAUAUUCGUAUUAUUCAGCUUUCAUGAUUUAUUUUCUACUCAUAAGAAGAAUAAUGUAAAUUCGUAGAAUAUUGUUUGGGAUUAUUAACGUCAAUUUCUUGGAUUGUUAAAAGUCUAUAAAGAUAAUAGAAUUUAAAUAAUCUUUGAGAUAUGCUACGGUGGAAUUUGCCACCGAAGUCUUUGAUUAUGAAAAAGAGAAUUUGAUGUUGUGUUCCUGUUUUGAUUUGACAACAUUGUAAAGUCUUUGAUUUACCAUGGAAGUCGUAGAAUUUGAUGUUAUCUUUGAUUAUGAAAAAGAGAAUUGGAAUUUGAUGUUGUGUUCCUGUUUCAACUUUAAUUAAUUUCAAUAUGAACAGCUCAUUAAAUAGACGAGUACAAUGCUAAGAAGCUCCCCAACGCCGUGUCCACAAUAGAUAUAUCUUGAUUUGACAACUUUUGGCCAUUCCAAUUUCUUUGCACAUGAUAAAAUAUCAUGUUGUAUUAGAAAAGUUUGAAAUGGCAUAGUUUAAAAUUAUCUUGAUUUGACAAUUUUUAUUCUCAUUCUAGAAGGUUAGGAAUCAUAUUAAUAAUUUUUGAAAUUAUAAAUGAUAUAGUUUAGAGUAAUUGACUUAUUCUAAUAUUUUAAAAUUAGAUUAUGAUCUAAAUGGAUACUUGUGAAAAAGUUCAUGAAAUGGUUUGUUCAAUUUUUACUUUUACAUCUGAAAAUAUUUUGCAAAUAAUAUAAUUUUUAUUAAUUCUUAUACAGUUGAGACAUAAAAUCAAUUAUUUAUUUAUUUAUUUUAAAUUAAAAUAAAUGCUUUUUCCUAAAGUUAAAAUAAUUUGUAAAUAAUUUAUGUUUUUACUUUCUAUUUUAGUAACAAUAUCACAAAAUCUACACCAAGAUAAAUGAAAAGGAAAAAAAAAAAAAAAAAUCACCGAUACAAAUUGAGUUUAACCCCACACCAAAAAACUCCAAAUCUGUUUUUUAGUGAUUUGAUUACUUUUCAACUCCCAUUUUUUAUUUUUUAUUUUACAUUAAAGUAAACCCUUUCCUGCUUCCUUAAAUUAAAAUAAUAAAACAAAUCACUGAUUUUUGUAAAUUAAAACGUAGGAGUUGAUCAUUUGAAUUUAUGGUUUAGAGAAAAGACACUUACCAAUUAACUAAGUUGCUGCAAUUGACCGAACUCUCCAAGUCCAAGUCAAUAUAUUAAGUUGGCAGGAAAGUUCUAGAGUCCUGAAUAAUCAUUUACCAUUGUCUCAUUUUCUUCGAUCAUUAGUAGUUGUGGCAUGACAAUGUCAGAAGCGCAGGUGCAGAGAGGCCAAAAUUUCACGCUACCUAUACAUAAUAGAUAGAGUUAAAGGAAUAAAUUUGGGCAUGACCUAAUUAUACUUUAUAAACACUCAAAAAUAAUUGUAAAGAAUUAAAUCCCAAAUAAAUAAAUAACAAUAAAUAAAAUUUCAUGAAUUAAAAAAUAAAUUAAUUGUGAUUAAUUUUUUUUUAUUUGUAAUAUUAUAUCCAUAAAAGAAUAUUUUGAUAUUAUAAGUGAUUUUAAAAAGAAUCACUUAGUAUUUAAACGUAAAUUAAAAGAAAUGUUCAGAAAUUAUUUUUAAGUGAAUUUUUGGAUUUUUAAAAGUGAUUUUCAAUUAUAUUUAAAUUUUAUUUGGAAUUGACUUUUGAGAGUUAAAAAAAAAAAUUAUGUUGAAUAAAAGUUUUUAUACCUAUUUAAUCAUUUUUUUUUAAAACUUAUAACUUUUAAAAAAGGUUUCAUAUUGAAGUCAUAAAAAUGUUAUUUCUUAUAAGAAUUUUAUGAUUCUAUUUUUGUUUACAUAAGAAGUUUUUUCAUGUUUAAUAUAACUUUUACAACAUCAACAUUGCCCCUUAAAAAUUAUUACUUUAAUUUUGAUUUUGAUUUUCAGUUAAAGCAAAAAAUAUGAAGCUAUCCCAAAUUUGACCCUACCAUCCACCUAAUUAAUUUUUAUAAGAAAAUGUUUUUUUUUAAUAUUUAAAAGGGCUUUUAUUUAUUUGACCACUAAAGUUCUUUGGAUUUUACUAAUCCAAAUCUAACAUGUGUACUUAAUUUUAUCUUUUUGACUUUUUAACCACUAUUUUAUUAGGAAAUUUUUGAACUCCUAAUUUCCAUGUGACAAAAAAUACCUGAUUAUUACAAUUUCUUAUUGAGACUUAAAAAAAAAAAAAAACUAGUCUUUGAUUUUUUUAUUUUUUUAUUUAGUUUUUAUGAUACAAAUAUCAUCUUAUGAUAGAUGUGAUGAAUGUGUGUUAAGUUUCAAAUAAAGGCUAAUAUCAUCUAAGAAGGGAGGUGAUUGCUCUUCUUGUGUGGGAUGGUGGUCAGAAAUGAUGAUUAAAGGACAACAGUUUCCAUCGUUAAUGUAUAUGUUGGCAUAAUGAAAACUCUUGAAUAUGUGAACCAAGUGGUUCGACCUUAUCCCUUCAACACAUUUUAUUUGCCCAUAAUUCUAGUUUUCUAAAUAAAGCUAAAAGCAUAAUAAAAUGUUCUUCAUGUUUGAUAGCAUUUGAAAUUGUUGACUCACAGCACAUGUCUCAUGCUUUACCACUUACAGGCCUGAGGCACAUGUUAUUGAGGAGAUUACUUUUGUUAUUUGGAAGAGUCUAAAUCAAGAACUCUUACAUGUUGAGAAGAACCUCGUUGGGAUGGAUCGUCAAAGGGUGUCUUUUUCUUUUUCUUCUUCUUCUAUUGGUCCAUCGGAUAUGAAGAUUUCUUAAGCUUUUGGGAUGAAGAUGAAGAUGCCAGCCACAAUUUCAUAGAUCAUCUCUAUGCAGCUUGGAAUCGAAAUUGGAUUCGUACCUUUAGAAUCAAUGAUCUAAGGGGAGGAGAUAUUGCAUUGGGUCUUUUGCACGCUAUUGAGAAGUCAAGGUUUGUUUAUGCGAACCUCAAUCGACACGCUUUGAGACCCAACAAACAGUAUUGGAAUAAUUGCCUAAGAAAGCUAAAAUACAUAUUUUUUAUAAAACCCUGACCCAACGUUUAUAAGUGAAACGCGAACCAAAAGUAUAAGUAACAGACCUUGACCCAAUGAUUACAAUGGAAUCAAGAACCGAAGGUAUAAAGUUUGAACACCACAAAGAAGAAUCCCUGAUAAGUUUUCUUGAAGAACCAAAAGAAGAGCAAAACCUCACAUUUUCUGAUUUUUUAUUCAAUCAAAAUUCUGCCCUAUUACAAGGAGAGCAUGCUAUUUAUAUGUCAUGACAAAAAAACUUACUAAAUAUUAAAACCCUAAAUAAAAGUUGAUUUGGUCUGAAAUUAGCAGAUCCAAAAUAGGAAAAUAGCUAAAAAAACAUUCUAAAUAAUGAAAGCCUAAAAUUAAGGUAGAUUUGGCCUGAAAUUAGAAACUCUAGAAUAGGAAAAAUGUCUAUUAACUGAUAUGGAGUUGGAAAGUCAAUCAGUCAUUAAUCCACGCCAUAAAUCACCCCCAAUCAAGCUAGAUUAGCCCUCAAUAGCUUGGAUUAAAUUUAUUACACCUUCAUCUUCCUUUGGGCCAAGCUUGGAAUGUCAUGCGUUAGAAUCAGUCCAAAUCUCUUGAAUUAGCCCAUUAAGUGCUUCUUUGAUCUUCUUGGAUCUUGCUUUAGUAAUAGGCCCAACUAGAACAUGCAAUGGAUCCUUGAAUGCUUGUUGAUUCUCAUCAUUCCCUCUCUCUUCAAAAGGAUUCGUCCUCGAAUCGUCACCUACAUCAAAAGGAGAAAGAUCAGAAACAUUAAUUGUAGCACUAAUGUUAUACUCACCUGGAAGAUCCAACUUGUAUGCAUUAUCAUUGAUUCUCUCAAGGACUUGAAAUGGACCAUCCCCUCUAGGAUGUAGCUUGGACCGCCUACGGGUUGGAAAUCUUUCUUUUCUCAUAUGCACCCAAACCCAAUCACCCGGUUCAAAGAGGACUUGUCGGCGGCCCUUGUUGGCUUUGGUUGCAUAUUGCUCAUUUUUCUUUUCUAUAUGUUUUCGUACACUUUCAAGGAGUUUCUU
rnacentral:lncRNA from 1 species